UGGGAGAGAAGAACCAGGAGGGAAAUGAGGGAUCAAGAAGGCCAAUCAAAAAGAAAAGAAAGAAGAGAAAGGAGAAAGGCGCAGAGCACCCAACCCGACCCUUUUCGGUGACCCGUUCACCCACACCCAACCCGGUUUCGAAACCGAUGAAAUUCCAGCGAUUUUGAGCCGUUUUUCAGUUGAAUUUCAUCCCAUUUCCACAUGCAAUCAUCACUAUAUCUCUUCCCCUUCAUUUUUCUAUCAAGGUUCGAUGGAAAUUGGGUCAAAUUCGUGACAUUUGACGAUGGUGACUUCGGCGGGUCUUGUGUCGAAUCUCCCAAUUCUGAAGCAAUUUUUUCCAAUUAGCACCAUCACUAGACUUCCCAUGAGGCCUAGAACAAUGCCCAAUCAUUGGUUGGAGCAUUGAAGUCGAGUUGAGGACGAAUCAAGAACACCCAAAAUCUAGGGUUCCGACGGGUUUUGAUGAAAUUGGAGCAUUUUCAGGCCAAAAUUGGCCUUGGUCACAGGUAUGAAAGUUGUUCUACUCAUUGAGAUCUUCAAAUCUGGAAAUUUUGGUAAUUUUUAGAGAU
rnacentral:lncRNA from 1 species